ACGCACGCUGGCGGCUUGCUUCACCCCUGCCAGUCGCACGGAAAGGCCCUGCUUUUGUGGGGUGCUCGAGUGGCGAACGGGUGAGUAACACGUGAGUAACCUGCCCUUGACUUUGGGAUAACUUCAGGAAACUGGGGCUAAUACCGGAUAGGAGCUCCUGCUGCAUGGUGGGGGUUGGAAAGUUUCGGCGGUUGGGGAUGGACUCGCGGCUUAUCAGCUUGUUGGUGGGGUAGUGGCUUACCAAGGCUUUGACGGGUAGCCGGCCUGAGAGGGUGACCGGCCACAUUGGGACUGAGAUACGGCCCAGACUCCUACGGGAGGCAGCAGUGGGGAAUAUUGCACAAUGGGCGGAAGCCUGAUGCAGCAACGCCGCGUGCGGGAUGACGGCCUUCGGGUUGUAAACCGCUUUCGCCUGUGACGAAGCGUGAGUGACGGUAAUGGGUAAAGAGGCACCGGCUAACUACGUG
rnacentral:rRNA from 1 species